ACUCUGAGAAGCUGAGGAAGGUGGCACUCAGGUCAUCCUGGAAGCCUUUGGGGGCACUAGCCUCUGAGUUGGGUGAGAGCAUGGCUUGGAUGUGCCUGGGGCUGCGGGCACUGUGAUCUGCCCUGGACAGAAGGGCCUUAGGCAAGGCUGAGAGGAGAACUGACAGAGGGUGGCACUGUGUGACUAGGGUGAAGCAGUGAUGUGAGAAGACCUCUGGCCAUGAUUAAGAGGCUGCCAGUCUCUUGGC
rnacentral:lncRNA from 1 species